UACAGAGGGUGCGAGCGUUAAUCGGAAUUACUGGGCGUAAAGCGCACGUAGGCGGCUUGGUAUGUCGGGUGUGAAAUCCCCGGGCUCAACCUGGGAACUGCAUCCGAAACUGCUUUGCUAGAGUAUGGGAGAGGGAAGUGGAAUUUCCGGUGUAGCGGUGAAAUGCGUAGAUAUCGGAAGGAACAUCAGUGGCGAAGGCGACUUCCUGGACCAAUACUGACGCUCAGGUGCGAAAGCGUGGGGAGCAAACAGG
rnacentral:rRNA from 1 species